GAACAGGAAGAAGAGGAGGAAGAGGCAGAGGAGGAGGAGGAAGAGGAAGAAGAAUCUUAGUAUAUUUUUAUUACUUUCCCCCCUUCAAAUAUUGUCCAGGAAACCAAGGCCUGUGGCAUCACCACAGUGUGAAGAUAAAAAGAAUCACUUUCCCUCCAUGAAUGUGUCGCCUUUGCUUUCCAGCACUCUAUAUGGACAUAAAUGCCACCUAGACAGUUCCACAGGCAAUCUUUUUAUAUUUGGCAUUCUGGCUUUGUGAAAAGCAGGUCUUAAGAUCCUCCGAACUUGAUGGCCAAUGAACACUGUGGCUUGAAUUUUAGGAUGUAGGUUCUAAUGUUUCAGUGCCCAUGUUUGUGUACCUCCAGGCUUCCACUGACAAUGCUUGGCAGUGUGGGUGACUGGAAAUGCCAAAUAAGCUCCCUAUAUGUGUGCCUGCUUAUCUCUAAACUGGAUUUUGGAAUGGAUAUAAUUUUUAAUGCACAGCAAUAGAAAUAAACACAUUUUCAUGCCAACUCUCUGCUUGUUCCCUACAGGCAUUGAUUACAAAUGAUAAACCACAGAAGUUAAAUGUAUAAUAGCCUAUAUGGAGGCUGCACUGAAGAAAAAUUCUCAUCUCUCUCUCUCUCUCUCUUUUUUUUUUUUGCUUACUAGUCUUAUGCAACAUUAAGUUUUAUUGCCCUGACUUCAUUGUUCAUCAACAUGGAAAUCUGCAAAAGGGACCGCUACUCUUGAGAUUAUCACUAAAAGUCAGCAGAAUAUCAUUUACAGAAUCACAUUCUCCUUCUGAAUUUUCAGACCAACCUUUUGCAAUUUUUAACCAUUUAGAAAGGCUACUUUCAUGGGAAACGUAAAAUUUUACCAGGUUUAUUAAGGAGCUUAAGUUCCACUAAAAGAGAUAUGACUUUUACAGAUAGUCAGCAUGAAUCUAAUAGACUAACACCAUUUACUGUACUGUUAAAAGGAAUUAAACUUCUCUUAAAUCAAUUAUUGCCAAAAUGAAAGUUUCCCUCUCUUUUCCAACUGUGAAGCACAUAAGCACUUGUACGGAAAAAUCCAUCAAUCAUUAUACAGUGCAAUCCUAAAUAGAGUUAUAUUUUUCAGUGGUCUUAGAAGGGUGUAACUCUUUUUAGGACUGCACUAAUAAUGUGCUAAAGGUGUCUUUAGUUUUGUCCCACUUGCACAAAUUCCUUUAGCAACACUUUUUUAUUUAAAUCUGAGAGUGAGAGUCCAGAUCCCUCUCUGCACUGGGGAGACUUCUCUGUUCUUACCACUGGGAGAUCAUGGUAAACUUAUAAAGGACUGCCAAUGCAAACCUUUGUAUCAAUGAAAAUAACAAAUGUUACUGUCCUGUCCAUAAAUAGGGGCAGGAUUGGCUUAGCUAUACAAUUGGCAAUAGUGUCUAACCAGCUCAAGUAAGUCCAGGACUGUAGAUAAAACCUAAAAUUUGGGGUUGAACAUUUUCUUCCAAUGAUUUUAAGAACCAGAACCUCACCUCUUGUCUGUGUAUGCCAACCGUUUUAUCUCUCUUGUUAUGCACAUUACGUACCUUUGAAGACCGGUUCCUGGCUGCAGAAAACAGCAUUGAGGCAACAUGAUUGUAUGUCCUUAACAACUGUGCUACAUUUUAUUUGACUAUUCCUCCCAGUGCUUUUGUAUGGUGUAACAGCUGCUGGUGAUUUCAGUGUAUUUAAAAGCAACUUUUUUA